rnacentral:snoRNA from 1 species
AGGUAUCUUAAAAGGUGUCAAUUUCCGCUAUGGAUGCAAGAAAAAGAAGGUCUUCGUGUUUUCUGCCUGUCUGGUUGUGGCAGCCAAGAUUGAAUGAGGAAAUAUAGAA